GCGGCGGUCUUCUCUGCAGCCCGGCCGCUCGGCGGGCGCGGAGAAAAAGCCUGCGUCUCUGCUGGCGGAGGCGGCUUCUUUUGUGUGUGUAGGUUAGGCCUGGGGUUUGGGGGGCACAUCCCAGCUCUUUCCAGAGACGGUGUUUUCACGUUGCCUCUGGCACACUCAAACGUUUUGUACUAUUUUCAUUUCUCAGUUUUUCUCACGGUUCUCACAGCCAAGGCUUCUAGAGAGAUGGAAGUUUUAUGUCCGUGAUUACAGACGGAGUGUAACCCAGCAUUCUGUGAGCGCCUUGAGAGCGAAAACAAUGUUCUUCUCCCCGCAUCCUCAGAGACCCACCGUUUCAUCUGCCUAGUAAACGCUGGAUUCCCGUGGCUUGUUAUCUUAGGCAAUUUGCAAGCUACUUAGGUUAUUUGCAUGCCAUUUAUGUUUGCUUCUCUACCUCCCGUCACCUUCUCCUUUCAUCUCCUCUUUCCCCGUCCGUUGCCCUUCAGUUUUACCCCCUUAGAUCGCAGCUGGUUUUUCUCUGAAUACUUCAAACGCCUCCAACUUGAAUGCAGCCAUCCUAGAGCCCACCCGGCACGAUAGAGGCAUCUUGAGGCAAGGGGCUUCUCUCUUAGAACCAUCGAAUGUCUGAGCGAGAAGGGACCUGGAAAAGGCGUCAUUAGCUCCAAACAUGUAUUUUUCAAAUGAGGGAACUGAGGCCAAAUAGAAGAGUGUUGGCUAAGAUGCAGAAAUCGCUCACACAAUGAUAAGCCAAAGAAGAUCCACCUGUACUUGGUAUGUUGGAAGAAGCUUCGUUGGAGUCUUACAGACCAGUGUGGUGAUGUGGAUACCAAUUACUAGUCCGUCAGUUUACCAGCUGGAUGGCCUCAGUCGAGUUACCUAACCUCUCUCUCAUGUUCAAUUUCAGAAUCUUCAGACUUGUAAUAAAAUGUACAUCACCAAGCUUGAAGGUUCGUGGUAGUUUAAAUGAGUUCUGGAGAUCAGAAGUCCAGAAUGGAUCUCACUGGGCCAAAAUCAGGAUGUCGGCAGGUCUGCAUUCCUUCUGGAAGCUUUAGAGAAACAACCCCAACGACAUGGAUCCAGGAACAGAAAUACUGGGGGUGAAGUUACAAACUGUCUCUACACUAGGCUCCAACAAUGUUAAGAUUGGCCUUGGAGGAAGCAGGUUUGAAGAAAAAGAACACAGGUGAUGACGAUGGUAGUAGUGAUACUAAUGAUGACAAACCCUUAUAUCAUACCUUCUAUACUCUGAAUUCCUUGAGGUCAAGGAACACAUUUUCCUCAUCUUUAUAUUCCCAUAGCAUCUGGAAGAAUGCCUUAGUUGAAUAAGGUAUUUAAUGAAUAUUGGCUGAAUUGAAUUGUUAAAAAAAGAGUCAAUGAAUUUCAGAACUAAGAAGGACCCAUGAAUCCAAGUCUCUCCCUCCCAGCCUUUUUUUCUAUUUCUGCUUGUCUGUCUGUCUGUCUGUCUUGCUUGCUUGCUUGCUUCCUUCCGCCCCACAGAAGGAGAAACCUAAUGCUAAACAGGUUGGUGGUAAAACAAUGCUGGUCCCACCACACAAAUCUUUGAAUAAACAAGUGAAAUAAACUGGAAUUGAGAUAUAAGUGUUUACUAGGUAGUGUUGAAACAAAAAUGAAAGGG